ACGCCUUAUACAUGCAAGUCGAACGGAGUAGCAAUACUCAGUGGCAGACGGGUGAGUAACAUGUGGGAAUCUUCCCUUUGGUGAGGAAUAACACGAGGAAACUUGUGCUAAUACCUCAUAAGUCUUUACAGAGAAAGCUUUAUGCGCCAAUGGAUGAGCCCGCACUUGAUUAGUUUGUUGGUGGGGUAAUGGCCCACCAAGACUGUGAUCAAUAGCUGAUCUGAGAGGAUGAUCAGCCACAUUGGGACUGAGACACGGCCCAAACUCCUACGGGAGGCAGCAGUAAGGAAUCUUGCACAAUGGAGGAAACUCUGAUGCAGCGAUGCCGCGUGAGUGAAGAAGGCCCUUGGGUUGUAAAGCUCUUUCGUCGGGGAAGAAAAUGACUGUACCCGAAUAAGAAGGUCCGGCUAACUUCGUGCCAGCAGCCGCGGUAAUACGAAGGGACCUAGCGUAGUUCGGAAUUACUGGGCUUAAAGAGUUCGUAGGUUGUUAAAAAAGUUGGUGGUGAAAUCCCAGAGCUUAACUCUGGAACUGCCAUCAAAACUUUUUAGCUAGAGUUUGAUAGAGGAAAGCAGAAUUUCUAGUGUAGAGGUGAAAUUCGUAGAUAUUAGAAAGAAUACCAAUUGCGAAGGCAGCUUUCUGGAUCAUUACUGACACUGAGGAACGAAAGCAUGGGUAGCGAAGAGGAUUAGAUACCCUCGUAGUCCAUGCCGUAAACGAUGUGUGUUAGACGUUGGAAAAUUAUUUUUCAGUGUCGCAGCGAAAGCAUUAAACACACCGCCUGGGGAGUAC
rnacentral:rRNA from 1 species